rnacentral:rRNA from 1 species
ACUCCUACGGGAGGCAGCAGUGGGGAAUAUUGCACAAUGGGCGCAAGCCUGAUGCAGCCAUGCCGCGUGUGUGAAGAAGGCCUUCGGGUUGUAAAGCACUUCUAGUCGUGAGGAAGGUAGUGUAGUUAAUAGCUGCAUUAUUUGUACGUUAGCGACAGAAGAAGCACCGGCUAACUCCGUGCCAGCAGCCGCGGUAAGUACGGAGGGUGCGAGCGUUAAUCGGAAUUACUGGGCGUAAAGCGCAUGCAGGUGGUUUGUUAAGUCAGAUGUGAAAGCCCGGGGCUCAACCUCGGAAUAGCAUUUGAAACUGGCAGACUAGAGUACUGUAGAGGGGGUAGAAUUUCGAGGUGUAGCGGUGAAAUGCGUAGAGAUCUGAA